CCCAGGACCAACUUGUUUACUGAUUGUUUUCACUUGGCACAACCAGUUAGCUAAACUUGCUUGACUAUAUGACCAGAGAGUCAUAAAAGACCCCACUGGGAAUUUACCUCCCGGUAGAUUAUCUCCUGAGGUCAAGAUUCAUUGUGCAGAUCUUGAAGGUUCAGUCUGGAGAGGAAGCCCUUGGAGAGCUAAGAAGGACCUUUUGGAGCUUGCGCAUGGGCUGUCUCUGGACCUCCAAUGCUUGCCUGCACUCUUCUCUUGCUGCACUGCAUGCAACCUCUGCCUGUGUAUUAAAGCCUUCUGUGACUCCGCCUUGUGGAUCCUGAUGGAGAGAAGAUAGUGACUGUAGCUGCACCUAAAUGUGGAGAUUUGGUGGCAGAAAGAAGCUUCUGGUUUGAGAAAUUUUGGAUAUGAAUAUGGGGGAAGCAAAAGCCUUGAACAUGCAUGUGCUCAAUUUAAUUGUUUCUUGAACAGAAGAAUGAACUACGGAAUGCUGGCAACUCCCAGAAGCUGGAAGAGGCAAGGAGUGGACUUUCCCCUACAGCCCGCAGAGGGAGUGAGGCACCUGCCGAUGAAUUGAUUUUAGCCCAGUGGUACUGAUUCCAGACUUCUGGCCUCCAGAACGAUAAGAGAAUGAACUUCUGUUGUUUGAAGUCACCAAGUUUGUGGUAAUUUGUAACAACAGUCACAAGAAACUAAUACAAAAGGUAUAAAGCAACAUUUCUUUUGAGUAAAUGUUAGUUUUCGUGCUGAUUCCAAAUGCAAGUGUUAACAAAGGUAUGGUAAACUGCUUUUCAAAAUGAAAAUUUCAAUCAAAAUGAUGUGUCAUUGACAAAAUAAAUUUUCUUUUCAGAAACUUUCAUUUAUGAGUUCGAAUAUAACUAGUAAACAGAGUGCAUGAAGGCAUUUGACAAAAUCAUUUUGUUUACUGAGCUUUUUUUAAACUGAUGAAUCUUCUCAUAUGAAGUGUUUUGUUGAUCUGCCAGUGAGUUUUUUUUAAUUUGUCGAGCACAGUGAAACUGACUGAAUUAUCUAAUAAAAGAAUAAACCUUUUAAAAACAUCUCUUUUCUUUUGGUUUAAUAUCUACUGAUCCUACUUUUAUUCUGGACUUUUUCAAAACUAAUACCUGAUGGGGAAACAAAAUGUAUAACAUGAAUCUAAAUUCUAGCAAAACAGUCAGUUAUUAUUUAACAGCAUUUACCCUUAUAUAAAGUCUCUAAAAUGUGGCCUUCUAUCCAAAGAAGUGAUAGCAUUUAAAGGAAGACUUGUGGAAGUUUCGAGAAGCAAGAUUCUUGUAGCAACUACUGAAACAGGGAGAGUGGCUAACUGCCUGUUUUUCUAGAAACUUCUCAGUGUGGUGUGCUUGAUCUUGGUAAUAAAUAUGUGCCUAAAGUGGUGCAGUUUCAGAAGCCUGACUUUGUUGAUUACUCCCAGCGGAUCCAGUGGCAAUCAGUACAAUAUCUCAUUCAUUUCUCUGGGUCCUGGGGAUGUGACACUAAACAAACAAAAAGUGGAGGAAGACAGACAAAAAUAAACAAACAAGUAUUAUCAAUAGUGACAAGUACUGGGCAAAAAAUUUGGCAAGAUAAGUUGAAUAUGACAUGCCUUAGGAUAUUGCUAUUUUAUAACAGUGUCAGGAAGCCUCUCAUUACUAUAGUUAAUUUUAGGAUAUAAACCAAACAGAAAUCUGGGAGAAGAAUAUUCCGGUUGGAGGGACUAUCAAAAAUUUAGAGAGUGAGGACAGAUCAUGCAGGUCUUUGUAGCCCACAGUUACAACUUUGGCUUUUACUACAAGAUGGAAAAUGGUAUAGGUGUGGGUAUGUUGAUAGUAUUCAGUGAUAGUAAAAUGAUCAGAGAGCUCUUUGUGAUGGGUUUUAUUUUUCCAUGAAGUUUGGCAACUGAGAAAUUGUUCUGAUGUAACUGUGAAGCAAGGUCAACAUCUAGGGAUAAAAGUUGGGUGGAGGUAAGGAGGAAGGGAGAGAAGAUGUGAAAUACCUGUUUUAAACACUAGAAAAGAGAGAAUACUAAUAUUAAUUGACUAUUUGAACUUGUGACAAUGAAUUUAGGGGGAGCACCAUCAGAAGAGUUGUGUGUGUCUGUGUGUGCUUGC
ensembl:lncRNA